AAAACUGUCCACUUUUUGAUUGAAAAGACAAAAAUACCCUUUACAUUAAAAUUUAAAAAAAUGGCCACUUUCUCUAGCUCUCUUCCCUCGUCCUAAUCGAGAACAAAAUUUCCAACUUGUAAAAUCCCUAACUUCAUCUCCUUCAAUUUCCGGCGAAGACCACCGCUAUCAGUCCGACGCCGUCGCCGCCGUAGUUGCAGGGCCACCUGCGACGCCACACUCUCUUCUCCUUCAGGUAAUGAUCGAAAUUCGGCGGAUCGGCGUGGCCGAACUCGGUGCGGAUCUCGAUGAUUAAGAUCUCCAUGGCAGACGUCGAGGUAGAGCGCGCCGGCGGCGAGUUAGUCGUAGAUGGAGAGGUUUUGGCACUAGGCGAAGGGGAGUUCUAGACCUCCGAUUUGGCACGCGGCAGUCUCUCUCUCUCUCUCACAAAUCCAAAUCGAAACACACACACACGACUCAAAUCUAUCGGGCUCCCUCUCCUCAAGGUCGUGCUGUGGAAGCGAUGGGCCGGCAGCCGGGAUGCUGUCGUACCCGCUCGGAUUAUUUGAUAUCCCCCUUUUCUGCUUCACUUUCCUGGUGUGUGUGUGUGUGUGUGUGUGUGUCUUUUUGUGUUGGAAAUUCAGCAAAAUUUCUGUCUUUUUGUUGAAAAAGUGUAGCUGAAGAGAAUAGAGAAUAAAAUUAAUCGGCAAGUGACCUUCUCCAAGCGGCGAUCGGGACUUCUCAAAAAAGCUCAUGAGAUCUCCAUCCUCUGCGAAGCCGAUGUCGGCUUAAUCGUCUUCUCCACCUAGGGCAAGCUCUUUGAAUAUGCUACUGAUUCGUGGUAUAUUGAACUGCAUUCUUGAUACAAGCAAGAUAGAAGCUGGGAAGAUGCAGCUUGAGGAGCAAGUGUUCGACGUGGAGCAGCUUCUGGAGGACGUGGUUGAUCUAUACUAUCCUGCUGGCAUGAAUAAAGGCGUAGACGUGAUCUUGGAUCCAUGCGAUGGCUCUGUCUCGAGAUGUCGUUGGGCUAUAGAUUCAAGUAUGUAGCAAUAACUUGCGAUGUGAAGAUGAUCAGGUGGUGCAAGUGGUGAUUCAUGAGCUCGUUCGUGCUUAUGAUGAGUGUCGUGCUGCUAAUCUCGACUGGACUAACUGCGCUCAUCACGCUUGCAAUGAGGUUAACUAACUAUCAUUAAGAAAUCUAAGCAUUGUUUAAUGCUUCAUCAUGCUUUUGUAAUUCUUGGUUAUGCAUAGUAUUUGUUAGAGCAUAUUCGAGCUAAUCAUCUCAGCGGUUAUUGCCACUUGAAACAAGAGCUUCUUCGUGGGCAUUUGAAGAUAAAGAAAAUACUCUCACAGUAUUAGGACUGGAUGAUACACUGCAAUAAACUGGAGCAGAGACUGAAUGUUAGUGAAAUUUGUAGCAGCAAUGAGCAAAUCAUGCAAAGAGUAGGUAACAUUGUUGGAUUAGAAACUCCUAUUGUUAUAUACCUUGCUGUUGCUGAUGACCUCCUUGAAGAUAACUCCGUACUCGAGGGGUGGGGCAAAGGUUUGCUUCCUUUCGAGAAGAAGAAGUUGGGAGAAGAAGAAGUUGGGUGUUCUUGACACGUACAAGAAGCACCCCUAUCUGAUUCAAUCGGCUAUAGACUAUGAAGUUUGCUUGAGAUCUGAUGUGUUUGUGGGGAACACCUUCUCGACUUUCUCCAGCCUUAUUGUUCUUGACAGAACUCAAUUGAUGAUCAGCAAGGGUCUUACACAACAGUGCGGGUUAGAUGUUAGAUGGCCUUCAUAUGCCUACAAUUUAGAAGGUGAAUUAAAUGGUCCACGCCCUUGGGCAGCUAAUAUGUCGGAUGUGAGCCUCCAAGCCAUUAGUUAUGGUUCGAAUCAUGUUUCUUGUCAAUGAUUCUUGAGUUUUGUUUUCCAUGCUUAUUGUGGGACGCGGUUUUCGACAAAUUCGGUGGUAAACCUUCAACUCAUUUUUGUAGAUGGCAUGAGGUACAUGAUUUUGGCCUUGUAUAUCUUCAGUGUUAGGCAAUCUUUUAUAUAUAAUUCUUCAUUCUUAUACUCCUUUGAAAUAUGUUAGGUUGUGUAAAUGAUAUGGAAUACUUCCCUGAUUAGUCAUUUAAGUUUGAGAUUGUUCAUUGAUUGAAUUCUCUCCGAGAUAUUGAUACUUUGUAAAAGUAGGGGGAAAUUCGGAUUGAUCACAACGUGCUCGUCUUCUGGUAAUGAAUAUUUGGCUGUGUUGUUGAAUGUGUUAGAUUUUCUGCUAGAGCAAUGAAAGCAAUGAGAGGAAACCCAUAUUGUUCGGGAAUAAAAGCGGAGGAUGCCAUGAAAGCUAUUUGGAGUACCUGCUAUAACGACACUGCGCCCUUCGACACUUGAGAGAGGCCGCUACUCACUUCUCUUGGCAUCAAAUUAAUUGCCACUCUGAAGUUGCUACUGCACUGAUUAUGUAUUUAAGUUUACAUUCUCGAGUUAUCUUUAAUCCACGCAGAUUUGACAUUACUACUAAUUUCUUUGUUGUAGAGCUGGUUAUGGAGUUUUGUUAUUUAUUUGUUAAUUUAGUGUUUUUUGGUUACUUGAUCUAUCCUCCAAUUUUGGGGGCCGAAUUGGAAGCAAUUGAUUUUGAAAUUAUUUUUGGGUGAA